rnacentral:rRNA from 1 species
UACAGAGGGGGCAAGCGUUGUUCGGAAUUACUGGGCGUAAAGGGCGCGUAGGCGGCCACCGCAAGUCGACUGUGAAAUCUCUGGGCUUAACCCAGAACGGUCAGCCGAUACUGCGGGGCUAGAGUGCAGAAGGGGCUACUGGAAUUCUCGGUGUAGCGGUGAAAUGCGUAGAUAUCGAGAGGAACACCUGCGGCGAAGGCGGGUAGCUGGGCCGACACUGACGCUGAGGCGCGAAAGCCAGGGGAGCGAACGGG